UUUCCCCUAGGGAGCUGGACGUGCUUUCUCUGCUGGUGGGAAUCUAAAGAUGUUCUAUGAUGGGAGGUCAGAUGAUUCCUGUCUCGAAGUUGUGUAUAGAAUGUAUUGGCUAUGUUAUCACAUUCACACAUAUAGGAAAGCCCAGAUAGCGCUUGUUCAUGGACUUGUCAUGGGUGGAGGUGCAUCACUGACUGCUCCAUUAAAAUUCUCGGCUGUCACUGAGAAGACUCUGUGUAUCCCUGACAUGUCCUAUGUAUAUAUUCUUUUCUUUUUUUUUUUUCCACCUUUUUUCCUAGUUUUCGCUUCUACUUGAAAGUUCAAAUGCUUGAACUAGGGUAUGAGAAAUCAUUCCAGUGGAGAUCUAAUCCUAUGGAUGUCAUAUUUAAAUCUAUGGAUGCACAUUUUAUAGGUGAUAUAUUCUCAAGAUUUUCUUUGGUUUAGGUUUUUGCUGUUCCUGAAGCAAGUAUUGGAUUUCACACUGAUUGCAGCUUUUCGUACAUUGUCUCACGGCUUCCUGGACAUUUAGGUAAGCACAGAGUGAAAUGGCAUGAAUGGGUGGUCUGUUGUGAUGUAACAGUGACAUGGGGUCAAGCCUCUCAACCAGAAGCAUAUGAUUUUCAUAGAUUGAAAAAAAGGAAAAAAGAAAAGAGAGAUGUUUUUCUCAUGCUACAGUGCCCACAACUAACUACCACAAUCAAGCUAAAAUUAUAGUUAUUGCAUAUCUUUUAUAGGCUUGUAUAGAGUUUGAGAACUUUCUUGGAU